UACGGAGGAUGCAAGCGUUAUCCGGAAUGAUUGGGCGUAAAGCGUCCGCAGGUGGCAAUGUAAGUCUGCUGUCAAAGCGUCUGGCUCAACCAGAUAAAGGCAGUGGAAACUACAUAGCUAGAGUAAGGUAGGGGUAGAGGGAAUUCCUGGUGUAGCGGUGAAAUCCGUAGAGAUCAGGAAGAACAUCGGUGGCGAAAGCGCUCUGCUGGACUGCAACUGACACUCAGGGACGAAAGCUAGGGGAGCGAAUGGG
rnacentral:rRNA from 1 species